GACGAACGCUGGCGGCGUGCCUAAUACAUGCAAGUCGAACGCUUCUUUCCUCCCGAGUGCUUGCACUCUAUUGGAAAGAGGAGUGGCGGACGUGUGAGUAACACGUGGGUAACCUACCCAUCAGAGGGGGAUAACACUUGGAAACAGGUGCUAAUACCGCAUAACUGUUUAUGCCGCAUGGCAUAAGAGUGAAAGGCGCUUUCGGGGGUCGUUGAUGCAUGGACCCGCGGUGCAUUAGCUAGUUGGUGAGGGAACGGCUCACCAAGGCCACGAUGCAUACCCGACCUGAAGGGGAGAUCGGCCACCCGGGGAGUGAGACACGGCCCAGACUCCUGCGGGAGGACACAGUAGGGAAUCUUCGGCAAUGGACGAAAGUCGGACCGAGCAACGUCGCGUGAGUGAAGAAGGUGUUCGGAUCGGAGAACUCUGUUGUUAGUGAAGAACAAGGACGUUAGUAACUGAACGUACACUGACGGUAUCUAAACAGAAAGCCACGGCUAACUACGUG
rnacentral:rRNA from 1 species